CGACAGCAAUAUGAAGGUCAGGCUGAAGACCUUACCCGAUUAGCUGAGAGGUGGUGCAUGGCCGUCGUCAGUUCGUACUGUGAAGCAUCCUGUUAAGUCAGGCAACGAGCGAGACCCACGUCCACAGUUGCCAGCAUACCCGUCCGGGGUGAUGGGUACACUGUGGAGACCGCCGCUGCUAAAGCGGAGGAAGGAGUGGGCAACGGUAGGUCAGUAUGCCCCGAAUCUCCCGGGCUACACGCGGGCUACAAUGGUUGGUACAAUGGGCAUCUACCCCGAAAGGGGAAGGAAAUCUCUUAAAGCCAAUCGUAGUUCGGAUUGAGGGCUGCAACUCGCCCUCAUGAAGCUGGAAUCCGUAGUAAUCGCGUUUCAACAGAACGCGGUGAAUACGUCCCUGCUCCUU
rnacentral:rRNA from 1 species